AACGAACGCUGGCGGCAGGCUUAACACAUGCAAGUCGAGCGCGUCGCAAUACGAGCGGCAGACGGGUGAGUAACACGUGGGAAUCUACCCAUCACUAGGGAAUAACUCAGGGAAACUUGUGCUAAUACCCUAUACGACCGAGAGGGGAAAGAUUUAUCGGUGAUGGAUGAGCCCGCGUUGGAUUAGCUAGGUGGUGGGGUAAAGGCCUACCAAGGCGACGAUCCAUAGCUGGUCUGAGAGGAUGAUCAGCCACACUGGGACUGAGACACGGCCCAGACUCCUACGGGAGGCAGCAGUGGGGAAUAUUGGACAAUGGGCGCAAGCCUGAUCCAGCCAUGCCGCGUGAGUGAUGAAGGUCUUAGGAUUGUAAAGCUCUUUCACCGGUGAAGAUAAUGACGGUAACCGGAGAAGAAGCCCCGGCUAACUUCGUGCCAGCCGCCGCUGUAA
rnacentral:rRNA from 1 species